CGCAUCUGUGCAUGCAGCAUAUCAAUAAGCGGAGGAAAAGAAACUAACAAGGAUUCCCCUAGUAACGGCGAGUGAAGCGGGAAGAGCUCAAAUUUGAAAUCUUAAAGGGUUUCCCUUUACGAAUUGUAGUUUAAAGAAGUGUUUUCUGUUGAGGUUUUGGUAAAAGUUCUUUGGAAUAGGACAUCAUAGAGGGUGAGAAUCCCGUAUUUGACCUUUACUUUCAACUUUGUGAUACACUUUCAAAGAGUCGGAUUGUUUGGGAAUGCAGUCCAAAAUGGGUGGUAAAUUUCAUCUAAAGCUAAAUAUUGGCGAGAGACCGAUAGCGAACAAGUACCGCUGAGGGAAAGAUGAAAAGAACUUUGAAAAGAGAGUUAAACAGUACGUGAAAUUGUCAAAAGGGAAGCGUUUGACACCAGUGUUGUUUUUCUGAAAAUCAAUUAAAGAACUGUUUAUGCUAAGUUGUUUAGACUUUAUCAGCUAACUGUUUAGUUUUGAGCUUUUCUUUAAUGCACUUUUCAGUUAACAAGUCAACAUCAAUUUCUUUUGCUGUAAAAAAGCUUGAGGAAGGUGGCUUGAAAUUCGUCUUAAGUGUUUAUAGCCUCUUGCCUAUGCAGUCGGAGAGAUUGAGGUCUGCAGCGUAGAUCCUUCGGGGCUAAAUGCAUUUGUGCUAAGUUAUAACAUUUUAUAGACAACUUGUUGAGUAUGAUUUGUCUUGUAGCUUACUCGCUUAUGUUAUUUUACCUACGCUUAGGAUGUUGAGUAGCGACAUACGCAC
rnacentral:rRNA from 1 species